rnacentral:rRNA from 1 species
GAUAAACGCUGGCGGCGUGUAUUAAGCAUGCAAGUCGAACGGGAACCUUCCCGCAAGGGGAGGGGAGAGUGGCGAACGGGUGAGUAACACGUAGGUGAUCUGUCCCCGGGUGGGGUAUAGCCCAUGGAAACAUGGGGUAAUACCGCAUGAGGUCCUGGAGCUUGAAGGCUUCUGGAUGAAAGGCGCAAUUGGGUUGCCUGGGGAUGAGCCUGCGGCUCAUUAGCUAGUUGGCGGGGUAAGGGCCCACCAAGGCGACGAUGGGUAGCCGGCCUGAGAGGGUGUACGGCCACACUGGGACUGAGACACGGCCCAGACUCCUACGGGAGGCAGCAGCUAAGAAUCUUCCGCAAUGGGGGAGACCCUGACGGAGCGACGCCGCGUGGACGAAGAAGGCCGCAAGGUUGUAAAGUCCUUUUGCAGACGAAGAAUAAGGCCUGGAGUGGAAAGCCAGGCUGAUGACGUUAGUCUGCGAAUAAGCCCCGGCCAAUUACGUGCCAGCCGCCGCAGUAACAC